AACGAACGCUGGCGGCAGGCCUAACGCAUGCAAGUCGAGCGAGGACUUCGGUUCUAGCGGCGGACGGGUGAGUAACGCGUGGGAAUGUGCCCUUCUCUACGGAAUAGCCCUGGGAAACUGGGAGUAAUACCGUAUACGCCCUAUUGGGGAAAGAUUUAUCGGAGAAGGAUCAGCCCGCGUUGGAUUAGGUAGUUGGUGGGGUAAUGGCCUACCAAGCCGACGAUCCAUAGCUGGUUUGAGAGGAUGAUCAGCCACACUGGGACUGAGACACGGCCCAGACUCCUACGGGAGGCAGCAGUGGGGAAUCUUAGACAAUGGGGGCAACCCUGAUCUAGCCAUGCCGCGUGAGUGAUGAAGGCCUUAGGGUUGUAAAGCUCUUUCAGCUGGGAAGAUAAUGACGGUACCAGCAGAAGAAGCCCCGGCUAACUCCGU
rnacentral:rRNA from 1 species